rnacentral:rRNA from 1 species
UACGGGGGGGGCAAGCGUUGUCCGGAUUUAUUGGGCGUAAAGAGCGUGUAGGCGGCCAAGCAGGUCCGCUGUGAAAACUCGAGGCUCAACCUCGAGACGCCGGUUGAAACCAUCUGGCUAGAGUCCGGAAGAGGAGAGUGGAAUUCCUGGUGUAGCGGUGAAAUGCGCAGAUAUCAGGAAGAACACCCGUGGCUAAGGCGGCUCUCUAGUACGGUACUGACGCUGAGACGCGAAAGCGUGGGGAGCGAACAGG